ensembl:lncRNA
UUUAUGUUUAAUGAUUAUGCUUAAUAAUCUAAUCAUGUUUCAUAAUGUCUCUGGAGAAGGUUCAGUCUCCAGUCUGCUGAUCCGAAAGAAAGAAGGCGGCUUUUGGAGGACUUAAUCAUCGCGAGUCGAGCUGCUGCUGAACCUCCCCUUCCAACAUCCAGCAGGUUUGUUCUGCAGGUCCCAAUGAUGGCACAGGCAUGAAAGAGCCCAGAGCUCGUCGCUGGGGAGAGGCUGCGUAUGGCGUUGUGAAGGGAGAGAUGGAGGAGGGGUUUGAGCAGCGCUGUGCAGGAAUGAACGGCUGG